GCCAGAGUAUUUAAUUUAAUUUAUAGUAACAAGUGGGCCCACGAACGACCAAAAGUAUUAAAAGCAAUAAACCUACAGUUUUGGAAGAUGCAAGUCCAAUUGUAGCCCUCAACAAAGUGAGUUAUCUACCGACUAUCCUGAGCCUGAAAGGGGUGGAAAGGAGGGUGGUGAGAUUAUAUAAUCCCAAUGAGUAAACAAAUACCAUCUAAAAUAUCUAAAGCUGAGUAAAUGGAGACAGAUAAAAUAAUUUAAUAUACUGUAAUUCAUUACCUUUCAAACUCAUUUCAACCAAAUAAAAUCAAUUCAUAUAAAUCAAGUAAUCAACAAGGCUUAUGAUUUCCUGAAAAGUUUGGCUCUUGCCAAAAUCAUUCUCAUACCCAGUUAUCAAGGAUGCCUUGAUCGAGGGCUAUCCCAACUGAGUCCGCCAAGGCUGUUAAAAAGUUAUGUACGUAUAAAUCAUGUUUUUAUUAUGAAAACAUAGUUGUUCCUUGGCAUUGGCUGAGUUCACCCUCACGUGGUGGUUUGGCGUGAAGUGAACUCUAAAGUGUUAACCUCAGGAGUUAUCCAUCCACACCUCUCAUACUGAGGUAUGAAUAUGACUAGGUUCCGUGCCCCUCUAAUAGGCUGGUCCUCAGAACCAGCCCACUGCAGUAAGCUAAACCCACCAUACAAUAAAAAUUCAACAGCAUGACAUGGCAAUUUUAUCAUUAUCCAGCCUAUCAAGGCAAACAACAGUUUAUACAUUUCAACACAAAUACCAAUUCAGCCAUUCAUGCCAAUAUUGUCAUAAGCCAAUCAAUUAGAAUCAUGAAUUUACAACAUAAAAAAACAGUUUCCAAUUACUCUAUUUGAAAAGCCAUUAUUCAAUUUCAAGACAAUUUUAUAAAAUCAUCUCAUUUAAUCACAUUUUGCUUAUAAACAUAAAGAUUUUCCAUAUAAACUCAUUUUUCAUAAAAUCACAAAAUCGGAUAAAAACCACUUUAGAUAAUUAAGACGAUAGUAAGGUUACUCACUAUUUCGAGAGUCGAAUUCCAAGUACUCCGAUUCUUGAUCCUCAGGUACUAUCUCUUUACUU
rnacentral:lncRNA from 1 species